AGCGAACGCUGGCGGCAGGCCUAACACAUGCAAGUCGAACGAACCCUUCGGGGUUAGUGGCGGACGGGUGAGUAACACGUGGGAACGUACCCUUAGGUUCGGAAUAACUCAGGGAAACUUGAGCUAAUACCGAAUGUGCCCUUCGGGGGAAAGAUUUAUCGCCUUUGGAGCGGCCCGCGUCUGAUUAGCUAGUUGGGGAGGUAAAGGCUCACCAAGGCUACGAGCAGUAGCUGGUCUGAGAGGAUGACCAGCCACACUGGGACUGAGAAACGGACCAGACUCCUACGGGAGGCAGCAGUGGGGAAUCUUGCGCAAUGGGCGAAAGCCUGACGCAGACAUGACGCGUGGAUGAUGAAGGUCUUAGGAUUGUAAAAUCCUUUCACCGGUGAAGAUAAUGACUGUAGCCGGAGAAGAAGCCCCGGCUAACUUCGUGCCAGCCGCCGCUGUAACAC
rnacentral:rRNA from 1 species